GGGAUUGCCUUAGUAACGGCGAGUGAAGCGGCAAUAGCUCAAAUUUGAAAUCUGGCGCUUGCGUCCGAGUUGUAAUUUGUAGAGGAUGAUUUUGGUUAGGUACCUUUCGAGUUCCUUGGAACAGGACGCCUUAGAGGGUGAGAGCCCCGUACGAUUGGAUGCCGAGCCUCUGUAAAUCUCCUUCGACGAGUCGAGUAGUUUGGGAAUGCUGCUCUAAAUGGGAGGUAAAUUUCUUCUAAAGCUAAAUACCGGCCAGAGACCGAUAGCGCACAAGUAGGGUGAUCGAAAGAUGAAAAGCACUUUGAAAAGAGGGUUAAAUAGCACGUGAAAUUGUUGAAAGGGAAGGAUUUAUGACCAGACUUUUUCUAGGAGAAUCAUCCGGUGUUCUCACCGGUGCACUUCUUUUAGUUUAGGCCAGCAUCGACUUUCGGCGGCGGAUAAAAGCUUCAGGAAUGUAGCUCCCCUCGGGGAGUGUUAUAGCCUGUUGUAUAAUACGCUGCUGGGGGUCGAGGUACGCGCUUCUGCAAGGAUGCUGGCGUAAUGGUUAUCAAUCACCC
rnacentral:rRNA from 1 species